AAAAAAAAAAAAAAAAAAAAAAAAAAGACGAGAAAGAGAAAACAGUGAAAGAAAUAGAACCAAAAUUUCAUUUUUCAUCCUUUGGUUUUAGGCUUUUACCUUUUUUUUCUUUUCUUUUUUUUUUUUUUUUUUUUUAACGUUGAAAUCUUUAAUUUUUUUAAUAU
rnacentral:RNase_P_RNA from 13 species